rfam:Felis catus breed Abyssinian Contig174958.1, whole genome shotgun sequence. [26-MAY-2016]
ACCUGGGUGACUCAAUCGGUUGAGCAUCUGACUUCAGCUCAGGUCAUGAUUUCGUGGUUCGUGGGUUCAAGUCCUGCAUUGGGUU